GCUAAGCUGCGGGACAUGCUGAGUGACGUGCGGCAGAAAUGCCAGGAUGAGACCCAGACGAUCUCAUCAUUGAAAACCCAGAUCCAGUCUCAGGAGUCAGACUUGAAGUCCCAGGAGGAUGACCUGAACCGGGCCAAGUCAGAGCUGAAUCGGCUGCAGCAGGAGGAGACACAGCUGGAGCAGAGCAUCCAGGCUGGGCGCGCGCAGCUGGAGACCAUCCUCAGGUCCCUGAAGUGCACACAGGAUGACAUCAACCAGGCAAGAAGCAAGCUGUCCCAGCUACAGGAAAGCCACCUAGAAGCUCACCGGAGCCUGGAACAGUACGACCAGGUGCCUGAUGGGGUCUCUGGUACCAGCCUGCCUGACCUGGCCACCUUGAAUGAAGGCAUCUUGCUGGCAGAGAGGGGCGGCUUUGGAGCCAUGGAUGAUCCUUUCAAAAACAAAGCCUUGUUGUUUAGCAACAACUCUCA
rnacentral:lncRNA from 1 species